CGUGGUAGUGAUCAAGCGGGAGACCGAAAAUCCAAUCAAAGAUAGAUCAUCCAAGAUAGUGAUCAAAAUUAAUCUGACGAUAGAUAAUGUGAUUGAUCAAUCACGGAUGAUCUAUUGAUAAUUUAAAAAGUGAUAAAAAAGUGAACAAAAAUUUUGUUACAUUUAAAAUAUAAAUAAACACACUUUUAUUUAUUAUUGCUUCCUACCAAUUUUACUACAUAAAGCUGAACUAAAUCCUAGUUUUAAUGAUUGUUUUUCCAUUAAAUUUAAUAAAGAAAAUACUAGAAAUGAUUUAUUUUCCAACAUUGCAACUUAAAUAAUUUAAAUGUCAUUGAAAACAAAUGCCAGAAAUUGUUAUCAUAAAUUGUUUUCAGUUCGCGGAGUGUGUUCAAUUCGCCUGUGUUCAGUUCGCGGAGAGGGCAUAUUUAGAAUAUAAAAGACAAACAACAACUGCUUAAGAGCAAAAUCGUGGAUUAAUGUUCACUUUCUUUUAUUAAUGACUAAGUUGGAGUCUGUUAAUAAGAAUAUCAUAAUCAUUAUAACAUAUCCAAAAAUUCAAAUUUAAAAUUACUAUGCGAAGGGUCAUGUCCAAAUUUUUGAAAAAUUUGUGCGAAGGAAACCGAUGGAAAUUAUAUUGCCUUGGUGGGGAGCUUCCCGGAAACGAAAGUCUUCCGGUUCCGGGGGAAGUAUGGUUGCAAAGCUGAAACUUAAAGGAAUUGACGGAAGGGCACCACCAGGAGUGGAGCCUGCGGCUUAAUUUGACUCAACACGGGGAAACUCACCCGGCCCGGACACUGUGAGGAUUGACAGAUUGAUAGCUUUUUCAUGAUUCAGUGGAUGGUGGUGCAUGGCCGUUCUUAGUUCGUGGAGUGAUUUGUCUGGUUUAUUCCGAUAACGAGCGAGACUCUAACCUACUAAAUAGCUGGUACAUACUCUUAGUGUAUACAGCUUCUUAGAGGGAUUUGCGUGUUCAGCCGAAAGAAAUGAGCAAUAACAGGUCUGUGAUGCCCUUAGAUGUCCGGGGCUGCACGCGCGCUACACUGGCAAAAUCAACGUGCUUGUCCUACCCGAAGGGGGCGGGUAAACCAUUGAAAAUUUGCCGUGAUUGGGAUCGGAAAUUGCAAUUAUUUUCCGUGAACGAGGAAUUCCAAGUAAGUGCGAGUCAUCAGCUCGCGUUGAUUACGUCCCUGCCCUUUGUACACACCGCCCGUCGCUGCCGGGACUGAGCCAUUUCGAGAAAUUUGGGGACCGUUGAUUUAAUUUUUCUAAAUUACUUUGAUGGAAACCAAUUUAAUCGCAGUGGCUUGAACCGGGCAAAAGUCGUAACAAGGUAGCUGUAGGUGAACCUGCUGCUG
rnacentral:rRNA from 1 species